UUGUAUAAUGAACUAUAAUUUUAGUUGCUGUAGUUGUCAUAAUUUUCAAGUUGUAAUAAUAAUUGUUCUUGUUUUAAUUGCAUUUAGAAUGCCUACAGUAUGAAUUGAAGGACACAAUAAGAAGUCCGACUCCAUCAGCAUCAGCUACAAAUCAAACAAUCGAAAUUUGAUAGCCAAUUGCCAAUCACUAAAAUU